GACGAACGCUGGCGGCGUGCCUAAUACAUGCAAGUAGAACGCUGAAGGAGGAGCUUGCUUCUCUGGAUGAGUUGCGAACGGGUGAGUAACGCGUAGGUAACCUGCCUGGUAGCGGGGGAUAACUAUUGGAAACGAUAGCUAAUACCGCAUAAGAGUAGAUGUUGCAUGACAUUUGCUUAAAAGGUGCAAUUGCAUCACUACCAGAUGGACCUGCGUUGUAUUAGCUAGUUGGUGGGGUAACGGCUCACCAAGGCGACGAUACAUAGCCGACCUGAGAGGGUGAUCGGCCACACUGGGACUGAGACACGGCCCAGACUCCUACGGGAGGCAGCAGUAGGGAAUCUUCGGCAAUGGACGGAAGUCUGACCGAGCAACGCCGCGUGAGUGAAGAAGGUUUUCGGAUCGUAAAGCUCUGUUGUAAGAGAAGAACGAGUGUGAGAGUGGAAAGUCAC
rnacentral:rRNA from 1 species